AACGAACGCUGGCGGCAGGCUUAACACAUGCAAGUCGAGCGCCCCGCAAGGGGAGCGGCAGACGGGUGAGUAACGCGUGGGAAUCUACCCAUCUCUACGGAAUAACGCAUGGAAACGUGUGCUAAUACCGUAUACGUCCUUCGGGAGAAAGAUUUAUCGGAGAUGGAUGAGCCCGCGUUGGAUUAGCUAGUUGGUGGGGUAAAGGCCUACCAAGGCGACGAUCCAUAGCUGGUCUGAGAGGAUGAUCGGCCACACUGGGACUGAGACACGGCCCAGACUCCUACAGGAGGCAGCAGUGGGGAAUAUUGGACAAUGGGCGCAAGCCUGAUCCAGCCAUGCCGCGUGAGUGAUGAAGGCCCUAGGGUUGUAAAGCUCUUUCACCGGUGAAGAUAAUGACGGUAACCGGAGAAGAAGCCCCGGCUAACUUCGUGCCAGCAGCAGCCGCCGUAA
rnacentral:rRNA from 1 species